AGAGUUUGAUCAUGGCUCGAGGACGAACGCUGGCGGCGUGCUUAACACAUGCAAGUCGAACGAGGAUCAAUUUGGAAAGCUUCGGCCGGAAGGAUUGAUUCGAGUGGCGGACGGGUGAGUAACGCGUGAGCAACCUGUCCCAGACAGGGGGAUAACACUUGGAAACAGGUGCUAAUACCGCAUAAGACCACGGCAUCACAUGGUGCAGAGGUAAAAGGUGCAAACCGGUUUGGGGUGGGCUCGCGUCCGAUUAGAUAGUUGGUGAGGUAACGGCCCACCAAGUCGACGAUCGGUAGCCGACCUGAGAGGGUGAUCGGCCACAUUGGAACUGAGAGACGGUCCAAACUCC
rnacentral:rRNA from 1 species